UGCCAGCCGCCGCGGUAAUACGGAGGGUGCGAGCGUUAUCCGGAAUCACUGGGUUUAAAGGGUGCGCAGGCGGUUUAAUAAGUCAGAAGUGAAAGCCUGCGGCUUAACCGUAGAAUUGCUUUUGAUACUGUUAAACUUGAAUUAGGUUGAGGUUGGCGGAAUGUGACAUGUAGCGGUGAAAUGCAUAGAUAUGUCAUAGAACACCAAUUGCGAAGGCAGCUGACUAGACCUUAAUUGACGCUGAGGCGCGAAGGCGUGGGUAGCGAACGGGAUUAGAUA
rnacentral:rRNA from 1 species